rnacentral:rRNA from 1 species
GGCGACCGGCAAACGGGUGCGGAACACGUACACAACCUUCCUUUAAGUGGGGAAUAGACCAGGGAAACUUGGAUUAAUACCCCGUAACAUUAUGAAGUGGCAUCGCUUUAUAAUUAAAGCUCCGGCGCUUAAUGAUGGGUGUGCGGCUGAUUAGGUAGUUGGCGGGGUAACGGCCCACCAAGCCUGCGAUCAGUAACUGGUGUGAGAGCACGACCAGUCACACGGGCACUAAGACACGGGCCCGACUCCUACGGGAGGCAGCAGUAAGGAAUAUUGGUCAAUGGACGCAAGUCUGAACCAGCCAUGCCGCGUGGAGGAUGAAGGUCCUCUGGAUUGUAAACUUCUUUUAUUUGGGAAGAAACCCAUAGUUUCUACUGUGGUUGACGGUACCAGAUGAAUAAGCACCGGCUAACUCCGUGCCAGCAGCCGCGGUAAUACGGAGGGUGCAAGCGUUAUCCGGAUUCACUGGGUUUAAAGGGUGCGUAGGUGGGCAGGUAAGUCAGUGGUGAAAUCCCCAAGCUUAACUUGGGAACUGCCAUUGAUACUAUUUGUCUUGAAUACCGUGGAGGUGAGCGGAAUAUGUCAUGUAGCGGUGAAAUGCUUAGAUAUGACAUAGAACACCAAUUGCGAAGGCAGCUUGCUACGCGGAUAUUGACACUGAUGCACGAAAGCGUGGGGAUCAAACAGGAUUAGAUACCCUGGUAGUCCACGCCCUAAACGAUGGAUACUCGACAUACGCG